GACGAACGCUGGCGGCGUGCCUAAUACAUGCAAGUCGAGCGCGGGAAGCAAGCGGAUCCCCUUCGGGGGUGAAGCUUGUGGAACGAGCGGCGGACGGGUGAGUAACACGUGGGCAACCUGCCUGUAAGACCGGAAUAACCCCGGGAAACCGGGGCUAAUGCCGGAUAACACCUACCUUCACCUGAAGGAAGGUUAAAAGAUGGCUUCUCGCUAUCACUUACAGAUGGGCCCGCGGCGCAUUAGCUAGUUGGUGAGGUAAUAGCUCACCAAGGCGACGAUGCGUAGCCGACCUGAGAGGGUGAUCGGCCACACUGGGACUGAGACACGGCCCAGACUCCUACGGGAGGCAGCAGUAGGGAAUCUUCCGCAAUGGACGAAAGUCUGACGGAGCAACGCCGCGUGAACGAUGAAGGUCUUCGGAUCGUAAAGUUCUGUUGUUAGGGAAGAACAAGUACCGUNCGAANAGAGCGGUACCUUGACGGUACCUAACGAGGAAGCCCCGGCUAACUACGUGCCAGCAGCCGCGGUAAUACGUAGGGGGCAAGCGUUGUCCGGAAUUAUUGGGCGUAAAGCGCGCGCAGGUGGUUNCUUAAGUCUGAUGUGAAAGCCCACGGCUCAACCGUGGAGGGUCAUUGGAAACUGGGGAACUUGAGGACAGAAGAGGAGAGUGGAAUUCCACGUGUAGCGGUGAAAUGCGUAGAUAUGUGGAGGAACACCAGUGGCGAAGGCGACUCUCUGGUCUGUUUCUGACGCUGAGGUGCGAAAGCGUGGGUAGCAAACAGGAUUAGAUACCCUGGUAGUCCACGC
rnacentral:rRNA from 1 species